GUGCUUGCUUUGGCAACACAUAUACUAAAAUUGGAAUGACACAGAGAAGAUUAGCAUGGCUCCUGUGCAAGGAUGACACGCAAAUUCAUGGAGCGUAUAUUUUUUUG
rfam:Tupaia chinensis contig175631, whole genome shotgun sequence.